rnacentral:rRNA from 1 species
UACAGAGGGUGCGAGCGUUAAUCGGAAUUACUGGGCGUAAAGCGUGCGUAGACGGUUAUUUAAGUCGGGUGUGAAAGCCCCGGGCUCAACCUGGGAAUUGCAUUCGAGACUGAGUAGCUAGGGUACGGUAGAGGGAAGUGGAAUUUCCGGUGUAGCGGUGAAAUGCGUAGAUAUCGGAAGGAACAUCAGUGGCGAAAGCGACUUCCUGGACCAGUACCGACGUUCAGGCACGAAAGCGUGGGGAGCAAACAGG